UACGGAGGGUGCAAGCGUUAUCCGGAUUCACUGGGUUUAAAGGGUGCGUAGGUGGGUCUGUAAGUCCGUGGUGAAAUCUCCAAGCUUAACUUGGAAACUGCCAUGGAUACUAUAGGUCUUGAAUACCGUGGAGGUGAGCGGAAUAUGUCAUGUAGCGGUGAAAUGCGUAGAUAUCGGGAGGAACACCUGAGGCGAAGGCGGGCUACUGGGCCGAUACUGACGCUGAUGCGCGAAAGCCAGGGGAGCGAAAGGG
rnacentral:rRNA from 1 species